UUCUUCACACCAUCAUCUCUCUCUCUCUUCUUUUCCAUUUUUAUUUCAUCCUCCUUCCUCCUAACAUUCAAAAACCCUAAUCUACGUCCUCUGUAGCCACCAGAAUUAAAAUCAAAAACCCUAGAUCUGAUUAUAUAUUUCACGAUGUGGAUUCUUCUCUCAAAGGAUUCCGGUCAGCUAGGGUUUCCUCCGCAGCAACUGGUGGUGAUGAUUGAUGAUAAUAGAUAUGACGAUAGUGGUGGUUCUGGCUACGAUUAUGGUGACUCUCGGAAUUGGCCAAUUGGGGGAAGAAGACGUUGCAAUUGGAUUGCCCUUUGACUAAAAGGUAUAAUAUGCUUAACUUUCUACCCUAUUUGUGACCAUACCUAUUGUUUCUACUCGAUGUGUUAGACACCGAUUAGGGUUACCCUCUAUUUUCUUAUCUUGAUUUUUGCAUUUUUGUUGCUUAUCAAAAUUAGCCUUAAACGGGUUUCAAAUAAAAUUAAAGAGCGAGUACAAAGUACUAUAUAUAAUAACAAUCAAGCUUAUUCUAAUUUCUAGAUUUGAUUACAUGGAUAAAUUGUUUUGUUGAAUCCAGUAAAUUGUAAAUUGUCUGGUCUUUUAACUUACACUUACUUGAUGAUGUUGGUGGGUUUUUUUUCUUAUUUUUAGUUAUUAUCCUGAGUGUUUUGCUUUUAAUCUAGGGUGAACCCAUCGCGAGCCGUAAUCUGACAAUGAAUCGUGUAAAAUUGCUACCAUUAUUUAGGUACACACAAAGUUCAAUUUCGUCAUCUGUUAAGGCAUGCCCACCAGGUGUUUGUGUUUAUGUGUGAAAGAAAUGAGUCAAUGAAAUUUGUCUAAUUUAUCCGGUUGUUGAGAAGGGAUUCUCUCACCUAACUUUUCUUGAUUUGGGAUGUUGUUAGUUUGUUUUGAUUGUGUGAUCUAAUGUUUUGUUGAACAAGUGGACAGUGCUACUAAACAUGGUAUUCUUUUCGACGUUGUGCAACUACUCACUGACCUAAACUUCAUCGUUACAAAAGCAAACAUUAGUUCUGAUGGAGUUUUCAACACCAAUGAUCAAACAUGUAAUAGGCAGCUUGAAAGAGCCGGUUGAGGAUAAAAGUCAUUGAGUUCAUUCAAGUUGUUAAAAUCUCAAAAUAUGUUGUUUGGGGCGUGAUGGCCAGUCAUCGCAGGUCCACUUGAAUUCGUUGAUGCGAUGACUUUAGCAGAGGCGUGGACUGUAUCCAUUAUCUUCUUAUAAGGUCCACUUGAAUUUGCUGAUGCAAUGACUUUAGCACAGGUCCUCAACAUGCCAUUGCCACCAGAUUCAGUAUGGUUGUUUUUGUGAAUUAUAUAUGGGUAUUCAUUUUUCAAUCGGAAAGCUAUUGGGUCGGUUAAUCAGGAGUUUUGAUCUUCAUAACAAGUUUUCCUUCUCGGUGAGGUGGUAAAUUUUUUUUUUUUUGGAAAGACCGUUGGUGUCAUUCGGGUCUUAAUGACGUAGUGGAGAUUUGGAAGGCUCGGAAUGAUAAAAUCUUCAAAAGCGAAAACAGUUCGACCCCAAGGGUGUUGGAAUACAUUAAAGACACAACCUUUUGGUGGAUAUCUAGAAGAUUAAAGAUUACGGGAGUUAGCAGCUCGAAUUGGAGUUCCUUUGUGGGCAUUGACUUCGGUUAGGUGCUAGGUUUUUUUUUUCUUUGUGUGGUGUGAGGUACAGUGUAUUUUUUUUAGUCUGCGGAUGUUGCUAUGUUGUCUAUUCAUUUAUUUUUAUGUUGGGCGUUUGUAGGGUGUUAGGGGGAGUUGUCUUUUGGCUAAGCACUUUGUUUGAUUUUGGUGUGGA